rnacentral:rRNA from 1 species
CAGUCAUAUGCUNGNUUCAAGGACUNAGCCAUGCAUGCCUCAGAAUCACUGCAUUGCAGGAAUCUGCGCAUGGCUCAUNACAUCAGACGUAAUCUGCCGCAAAAAUCUUGCGGUCUCCGCAAAAUUGGAUAACUUGGCGAAACGCCAAGCUAAUACAUGAACCAACCGGAUGUUCUCUGUUCCGGCGGCAGGGCAACCUGCUGCCAUGGGACGUCCAGCGAAUGAUGAAAGUAA